UGUUGGUCCUCCCACAGACACCACCUGCAAAGGGAAGGGCCCUCGGCUCCCACGGCCCCGCCUGCUUCCAGCCCAGUGGCCGACCACAGUGCCAGCUAUUUCUAGCUUCCCUCCCUGAGAAGGAAUAGGUUGGACUCCUGCACACAGAAAAGAAACAAGAAGAUCAGAUCUUUACAACCACGGCAUUAGGAUCAACAAAGAGAAGCAAUUCCCACUCAGUUCUGGUUCCUAUUUGGCUUCCCUGAGCCCUGAGGGGAGGGGUGUGAUGGAGACCUCCAUUUAGGGCCUGCCCCUGUCUAAAGGCUGGAUUACAGGCAUCACUACCACCGAUCUACUAAGACUGAAGUUUACUAAGCUGGUUUACAUCGAUUUUCUGUUGUGAACACCUUACACGCACCUGAAUUCCAGGUCCACAGCUGAUAUGCUUCAGGGGCACACUGCACAGGAUAAGUGUGAACAGGACAGCCAGGAGGCAAGAGACUAAGAGGCAGUCUAGACUGUUCCCGCGCCUUCAAAGACUUCUCUGCCCUCUACAUGGAAAUUGGGGAAAAGGUGGUUUGAUAUCAUCCUGAGAACACACCUGGCACAGUCUGAAGCAUCUCCAAACACAACCAGAUAGCUGAAGACCUUGGCCCCUUCCUUCUUGAAAAAUACUUAUGUAUAUGUGGUUGGCUGUUUUGUUUUGAACUAAGAUCUUACUUUGUA